rnacentral:misc_RNA from 1 species
GAUGAAGAACGUAGCGAAAUGCGAUAAGUAAUGUGAAUUGCAGAAUUCAGUGAAUCAUCGAAUCUUUGAACGCACCUUGCGCCCUUUGGCCAUUCCGAAGGGCAUGCCUGUUUGAGUAUCAUGAACACCUCAACUCUUCAUGGUUUUCCAUGAUGAGCUUGGACUUUGGGGGUCUUGCUGGCCUGUGGGUCGGCUCCUCUCAAAUGAAUCAGCUUGCCUGUUUUUGGUGGGCAUCACAGGUGUGAUAACUAUCUACGCUUGUGGUUUUCCACCAGGGUAACCUUCAGCAGUGGAGGUUCACUGGAGCUUACAAAUGUCUCUCCUCUGUGAGGACAGCCCUUUGAAUGUUUGAUCUCAAAUCAGGUAGGACUACCCGCUGAACUUAAGCAUAUCAAUAAGCGGAGGA